rnacentral:rRNA from 1 species
UUAAGCGACUAAGCGUACACGGUGGAUGCCCUGGCAGUCAGAGGCGAUGAAGGACGUGCUAAUCUGCGAUAAGCGUCGGUAAGGUGAUAUGAACCGUUAUAACCGGCGAUUUCCGAAUGGGGAAACCCAGUGUGAUUCGUCACACUAUCAUUAACUGAAUCCAUAGGUUAAUGAGGCGAACCGGGGGAACUGAAACAUCUAAGUACCCCGAGGAAAAGAAAUCAACCGAGAUUCCCCCAGUAGCGGCGAGCGAACGGGGAGGAGCCCAGAGCCUGAAUCAGUGUGUGUGUUAGUGGAAGCGUCUGGAAAGGCGCGCGAUACAGGGUGACAGCCCCGUACACAAAAAUGCACAUAUUGUGAGCUCGAUGAGUAGGGCGGGACACGUGGUAUCCUGUCUGAAUAUGGGGGGACCAUCCUCCAAGGCUAAAUACUCCUGACUGACCGAUAGUGAACCAGUACCGUGAGGGAAAGGCGAAAAGAACCCCGGCGAGGGGAGUGAAAAAGAACCUGAAACCGUGUACGUACAAGCAGUGGGAGCACGCUUCGGCGUGUGACUGCGUACCUUUUGUAUAAUGGGUCAGCGACUUAUAUUCUGUAGCAAGGUUAACCGAAUAGGGGAGCCGAAGGGAAACCGAGUCUUAACUGGGCGUUAAGUUGCAGGGUAUAGACCCGAAACCCGGUGAUCUAGCCAUGGGCAGGUUGAAGGUUGGGUAACACUAACUGGAGGACCGAACCGACUAAUGUUGAAAAAUUAGCGGAUGACUUGUGGCUGGGGGUGAAAGGCCAAUCAAACCGGGAGAUAGCUGGUUCUCCCCGAAAGCUAUUUAGGUAGCGCCUCGUGAAUUCAUCUCCGGGGGUAGAGCACUGUUUCGGCAAGGGGGUCAUCCCGACUUACCAACCCGAUGCAAACUGCGAAUACCGGAGAAUGUUAUCACGGGAGACACACGGCGGGUGCUAACGUCCGUCGUGAAGAGGGAAACAACCCAGACCGCCAGCUAAGGUCCCAAAGUCAUGGUUAAGUGGGAAACGAUGUGGGAAGGCCCAGACAGCCAGGAUGUUGGCUUAGAAGCAGCCAUCAUUUAAAGAAAGCGUAAUAGCUCACUGGUCGAGUCGGCCUGCGCGGAAGAUGUAACGGGGCUAAACCAUGCACCGAAGCUGCGGCAGCGACGCUGAUGCGUUGUUGGGUAGGGGAGCGUUCUGUAAGCCUGCGAAGGUGUGCUGUGAGGCAUGCUGGAGGUAUCAGAAGUGCGAAUGCUGACAUAAGUAACGAUAAAGCGGGUGAAAAGCCCGCUCGCCGGAAGACCAAGGGUUCCUGUCCAACGUUAAUCGGGGCAGGGUGAGUCGACCCCUAAGGCGAGGCCGAAAGGCGUAGUCGAUGGGAAACAGGUUAAUAUUCCUGUACUUGGUGUUACUGCGAAGGGGGGACGGAGAAGGCUAUGUUGGCCGGGCGACGGUUGUCCCGGUUUAAGCGUGUAGGCUGGUUUUCCAGGCAAAUCCGGAAAAUCAAGGCUGAGGCGUGAUGACGAGGCACUACGGUGCUGAAGCAACAAAUGCCCUGCUUCCAGGAAAAGCCUCUAAGCAUCAGGUAACAUCAAAUCGUACCCCAAACCGACACAGGUGGUCAGGUAGAGAAUACCAAGGCGCUUGAGAGAACUCGGGUGAAGGAACUAGGCAAAAUGGUGCCGUAACUUCGGGAGAAGGCACGCUGAUAUGUAGGUGAAGUCCCUCGCGGAUGGAGCUGAAAUCAGUCGAAGAUACCAGCUGGCUGCAACUGUUUAUUAAAAACACAGCACUGUGCAAACACGAAAGUGGACGUAUACGGUGUGACGCCUGCCCGGUGCCGGAAGGUUAAUUGAUGGGGUUAGCCGCAAGGCGAAGCUCUUGAUCGAAGCCCCGGUAAACGGCGGCCGUAACUAUAACGGUCCUAAGGUAGCGAAAUUCCUUGUCGGGUAAGUUCCGACCUGCACGAAUGGCGUAAUGAUGGCCAGGCUGUCUCCACCCGAGACUCAGUGAAAUUGAACUCGCUGUGAAGAUGCAGUGUACCCGCGGCAAGACGGAAAGACCCCGUGAACCUUUACUAUAGCUUGACACUGAACAUUGAGCCUUGAUGUGUAGGAUAGGUGGGAGGCUUUGAAGUGUGGACGCCAGUCUGCAUGGAGCCGACCUUGAAAUACCACCCUUUAAUGUUUGAUGUUCUAACGUUGACCCGUAAUCCGGGUUGCGGACAGUGUCUGGUGGGUAGUUUGACUGGGGCGGUCUCCUCCUAAAGAGUAACGGAGGAGCACGAAGGUUGGCUAAUCCUGGUCGGACAUCAGGAGGUUAGUGCAAUGGCAUAAGCCAGCUUGACUGCGAGCGUGACGGCGCGAGCAGGUGCGAAAGCAGGUCAUAGUGAUCCGGUGGUUCUGAAUGGAAGGGCCAUCGCUCAACGGAUAAAAGGUACUCCGGGGAUAACAGGCUGAUACCGCCCAAGAGUUCAUAUCGACGGCGGUGUUUGGCACCUCGAUGUCGGCUCAUCACAUCCUGGGGCUGAAGUAGGUCCCAAGGGUAUGGCUGUUCGCCAUUUAAAGUGGUACGCGAGCUGGGUUUAGAACGUCGUGAGACAGUUCGGUCCCUAUCUGCCGUGGGCGCUGGAGAACUGAGGGGGGCUGCUCCUAGUACGAGAGGACCGGAGUGGACGCAUCACUGGUGUUCGGGUUGUCAUGCCAAUGGCACUGCCCGGUAGCUAAAUGCGGAAGAGAUAAGUGCUGAAAGCAUCUAAGCACGAAACUUGCCCCGAGAUGAGUUCUCCCUGACUCCUUGAGAGUCCUGAAGGAACGUUGAAGACGACGACGUUGAUAGGCCGGGUGUGUAAGCGCAGCGAUGCGUUGAGCUAACCGGUACUAAUGAACCGUGAGGCUUAACCUU